UGAAAACCACGUGACCAUCCACGAGAGCGGUCCAGAGUCGCUGAGAUAAUCAGAACUGCAGAUACCAGAGACUCCGAGAUAACACGGUGUGCAGCUGGAUGAACACAGCAGGAAAGCUGACGUUUCGGGCCUAGCUCCUUCGCUGAGACCAAGAUUUGUGCAAUUGAGAUGCCAGCGAUCGUUGCCAAAGCCCUGUUGCCUGUGGAGAAGGUGAUAUUUAACUUUAGUGUGCUGCUGCAGUUCGUAUGAUGAAGGUGCUCCCACAAUGCGGUCAUUUGAGAAGUUUCAGAUCGUUCAUCUAGCGACACUGAAGAGCUGAUGGAUAUUACAAGUGGACUUUCAGGUGGGAAGCUCAAUAAUUAUAACACCAAACUGACUGAAUUACUCACUUCUUCAGGAUCUGGAUAUUCACAUUGUGUAUUUCCACAAUUUUACUUCUGCACCAUUAUUCGUCUUUGAAGGAUCGAAAGGUUGAGUUACAGAUCUAUACAAUGCCUGUCCUUCCUCCCUGGCUCUCCCACCUCUCUCUCUUUUGGUAGUUUUGUGCAAACAUUGACUGGAUCCUUUAACUGGAGGAUAUUUAUGAAUUGAAUUUGUUCUAAUGAUAAUCCAGAAUAUUCCCCAAGUAUCGCUCCACAAAUGUCCAGAGAAUUUCUGUUUCACAAUCUGUGUUCGUCUGGUUUCUUAUUCACUGCACUUAGUUGCUGUUUGAAAGUAUAGUUGGACAAACUGGCAGAAAGCUAGCCACCACGAUACAUGAACAUCAACUAGCCACAAAACGACAUGACCCACUAUCACUCGUAUCCUUCCAUACAGACAAGGAAGGACACCACUUUGAUUGGGAUAACACAUCCAUCCUAGGACAAGCCAAACGGAGACACUCACGAGAAUUCCUAGAAGCAUGGCAUUCCAACCGGAACUCCAUCAACAAACACAUUGAUUUGGAGCCAAUCUACCAUCCCCUGAGUAAAAGAACAGGAAGUGACAUCACCAAUGCAGGAAAAGACAUCACCAACCCAAGGCAACCUAACCAGAUAAAUAGAAAGUGGGACAUAACACCAGCGCUUCGUCGGAGGCUCACUGAUGAUGUUACCUAGAAUGGUGACGAAACGUCUGAAAACUAACCUUGCAGCUCAGCGAUCAAACUCACAUCCAGUAUAGUCUGCAGUUGGAGAAUUCGAGCAGUUCCACAUCCAGGUCUGACAGUCACUUUGUUUAUCACAGCCUAAUUUUCUCAGGAUUUUGAACAUUGAAGGAAAAAGCAGCACUCACAUUGGGGAGAAAUGCACACGGUCUGUGUGUCGAUGAGUCUGUAAACAUUCAUCUGAAAUGCCCGCAUACCAGAGUAGUGAUACUGGAGAGAGACUGUGGAAAUAUGCAGAUUGCAGGAAGGAAUUUCUUCAUUCAUCCCAGCUAGAAACUGACCACCAGAGUCACACUGGAGAGAGACCAUUCACCUGCUCUGAUUGUGGAAUGGGAUUCACUCAGUCAUCAAACCUGCUUAAACACCAGAGAGUUCACACUGGAGAGAAACCAUUUACUUGCUCGGAAUGUGGGAAAGCAUUCACUCAGACACUUCAAAUGCUGAUACACCAGUGAAUCCACAUUGGAGAGAGAGUAUUGACCUGUUCUGUGUGUGGAAAAGGUUUUGCCGACUCGAUUCCCUGCUGAUACACCAGCGACUUCACUCUGGGGAGCGACCAUUCAUGAGCUCUGAGUGUGGGAAGGGAUUCACUGUCAUCCAAGCAGGUAACACACCAGCGAGUUCAGAGAACCACAGUGAAGGACUUUGCUGUCACUCUCACUAUCAAAUGAAACAUGGUUUUGGGCUGUUGGUACAGAUGUCACUGAUCCCUGCUCAAGUAAGGGUGCUGGUAUUGUGAAUAAAAUGUUAGUAACAGUUGUGUAAGGUAGAGCUUGGAAAUCGUCACGUUGUCACGAUACAGUCACGCUGACUGAAGAUUAUCCACCCGCACAGUAUGUGAAAAGGGAUUUCCCGGUUCAUCAGGACUGGUUAACUACCAGCAAAUUUCUGAAUGAGUUGAUUGGUUUGAAUACAGCUAACAGCAGAAUCAAAAACCAUGUGUUUUGGGCUUGUUUCUAGAGAUCAUAGAAUCCCUCCAGUGUGGAAGCAGAACACUUAGCCCAUCAAGUCCGCACUGAACUUACGAUGAGUGUCCGACCCAGACCCUGCCUGCGUGGGUUUCCUCCAGGUGCUCCGGUUUCCUCCCACAGUCCAAAAAUAUGCAAAUUAGGUAGAUUGACUAUGCUAAAUUGCCCAUUGUGUCAGGUGUGCAAAUCAGGGAUAAGGUCGGGUGUGAGUGUAGGUGGGAUGCUCUUUGGAGGGUUGGUAUGGACCGAAUGGCCAUCUUUCACACUGUAGGAAUUCUGUGAUGAUCUCGAUGGCCCUUUUGUUAGUUAUGUCUGCACACCUUUUACAAUGACGGAUUUUGUUGCUCUCCACAGACACUUGUUUAUUGGAAGCAAUGUAAUCUUUCAUUUUGUGGAUUAAAAAUCAAAGUUUUUUUUAAAUCCAAACAAAGGAUUGGGAUGAGUCAUGUACUGUUAUCCCUUAUUGCAUUUUCCCAAUUGGCUAUGAAACCUGGUGACCAUUGUGACUCUGUCCGGGGGGUGGGGGAAUGCAAUCUCUUCAGCUCUUUACCUGGCGUCUAUAGCAGUCACGGAUCUCAUGGUGAAUACAUAAACCAAGACACUAUGAUUUCUAGUAUAUAUUUUCUAUUUAGUCUUCUGUCAGUUACUCCCUAAGGACUGAGAUACCGUUCUGGGGACCUAGGUUUGAAUCCAUCUGAAAAUAAGAAUCUGACCGUGAAUCCAUUGUCCUUUAGGGAAGGAAACUGCCAUUCUUAUCCAGUGAUGUCAUCAUCCCAUGACUGAUUUUUAAAAAAAAAUCUAUUUUAAAAAAAACUCCUGCAAAUUUACUUAGCUGUCAAAUAAA